UGUGCUGGCUGCUGAUAUGUUUCCAGGUGAAAUACAAUGUGCUGGUUAUUACCUAUAAAGCCCUUAAUGGCUUGGGUCCAGGGUAUUUAAGAGUGCCUUCUUUGUCAUGAACCCUGCUGACUGUUACGAUCUUCUGGAGAGGUCUGGUUCGGUUGCCACUGGCUCAUGUGGGGGACACCUGAGACUGAGUUUUAUCUGUGGCUGCCCUGGGGCUUUGGAAUAUGCUCCUGCUGAAAUAAAAGCAUCUCCUUCUCUGUUUGUUUUCAGGAAGACCCUGAAGACUCACUUGUUCUCACAGGCUUUUAAUCAGAAUUGAUUCUAAUAAUUUGUUUUAAUAAUUGUUUUAUGUUACUGUUUUAAUUGUGUUGUAUUUUAAUCUGUGCUGAUUUUUAUUUUAUUUUUUUAAUUUUGUACACUGAUGUGAACAUGGUUCGUCCCUGGGUCUGCUUAGUCAAUCAAACAGACUCAGUGGGAAUCAUUUAGAGGCUUUUAUUGCUACUGCAGUUUAGCAAUAGGUAAUCACUGGGCAUAUGCUCUCAAACCGAUUACAGUUUGGUUACAGGUGCAUCUUACAUUUAUACAAACAAUCUGAAUGAUGCUGACACCCUAGACAUAGUAUACGUGACAAUAAAAUGGUGGUCUAAGUAUCUAAUACGCAUGCGAAUGAUUCAUUGUUCAUCUGGUGAUUACUCCUUAUUUGGUUAAAUCCUGUUUUCUUAACUGUCAGCGAAAAACAGUGGGAACCUUGUGAGCACCAAGUUUCAUAGAUACAAUUUAGUGGAGAGAGAUAAUGAUGUUGAUCAUGAGAGGCAGUGAUGUCCCUGAGCUGGGCUGGGGUUACUUUAAGUUAGAAUGAGGUUUUCUAAGUAAAAUGGAGUUGCUUUGAUUUUCUAAACACAUCACACCACCUACAGAUGUACAUAUCAGGCGGUAUAAAAUAGGAUUGAUUGAUUGAUUGAUUAAAAAUAAGAAAAAUAUUAAUUCUAUAAUACUGAGAGAUUUCUAAUCUAGAAGUAGACCCAGUCUUUCAGGCUCAUAGUAGCAAUGGUAUGGCGUCAGUAUCCUCAUAUGGCUUCAGUUCUCUAGAUUUGUUGCUUUACAGGUAAACCACUUGCAAACUGUUCACACUGGAAUAUAGGUCUCUUAAGCAUCACUGCUGCUUUGCCUCCUUUCCCCCCUCCCAAAACAGCAGGGAAGAUCCAUGUAGUUUGGCAGUCGUCUUCUGCAUGUGUUGCAGAUGCAAAUGUGCAUCUGCAUAUCUCUGUGUUACUGAACUGACAGGAUGCAUCUCAUGAUAUGUGACUUGGUUGCCUCUGAUUACAGUUGUAUUGAGUUCCAGGUCUGAAUGAAAUAGCUUAGCUACAGUUCAGAAUGGAAAAUACUGUGAUCACAUCAUCCCAUGUUUAUGGCUAAAGACAUAAUUUAAGAGGGUUUUUUCCUGCUUUAAAAUAAUACAGAAAACAUAUAGUUUAAAAGCAGACAUGAGUCUCUAUUGACUUCUUUCACUCUCCUGUCUCCUGGUUCUACAAGUUGGUGAAGGCUGCCCCAUAGCGCAAAUGGCAGGGAACAACACUCUUACAAUCUGUUGCUUUGAGAGAACGGCAAGGACUAGUUUGUGCUUCAUUCCCAGCUCAGGUAUCAUAUUUUGGGUCUGGUUUUCUGCAGGGUUGAUGCACAUUAAGGUGACCCCUAGCCAUUCCUGAUUACCUUCUUGCAACCUCUGAUCCUACCUCCUGUUGCAGAUAAAGAGGCUGUUCUCACAAGCUGCCAAGACCGGGCUAGGGCAGCUAAGCCUGGGCUUGGCCGCCCAUGAGAACCGCUGGGAGCUGCAUGGCUCCCAGAGGCAACUUGGGGGCAAACCCGUCUAAGGAGCCUUCCAGUUAGCCGAGGUUAAGGGCAUGAGCGUGCCCUUAAACCAGGCAAACUGUUCAUGUGUCAGCGCUGGCUGCUCCCAGGGGGCUCCUGGCUGUCACCAGAUGAGAUCCCCACAAUGCACCACGCACUGGCGCAGUGCAUUGUGGGAUUUUCCUGGGAGCUGGGAGGACACGCUGCAGGCCCCAAACCUCCACGUUGCCUGGGGCAGCAGUGGCUUGUCUGGGCGUGUGAUCCACAUGCCCAGCAACGCCGAUUGUCUGUGGGGAAGGUAAGCUGCUGCAGCCUCCCCCAUGGCCCACCCUCAAGCACCCUCAAGGAUGAUGAGAAAGGACUCAUAGUCUAAAUCCUUGCCAUAUCCCAACAAUGCUGCCAUCCUUUACUGGAGUCAUUUUAUGCUACUUAUAUAAACUUGUAUGGACCAGAAAUUCACAGAAUAUUUGCUGCAUUCAAGCACAUUUUAUUUUCACUGGCUUACAUGAUGCGCAGCAGUACGACGCUACAGCAAACUGUGUUGGGGCUGCUGUGGACCCAUAAGGUAGCCCCGACACUGAACGGGCAGUUGCAUAAGCAGUGCUGCUGCAAUUUCUCCCAGUCUCCCAAAUGGAAGAAACUUGGUGUGGUUUGCAGUGGUACCAUACCACUACACGUUCUCUUUUAAUGAGCUAAACAACAUUGAUUUUUACCACCAAGAGUCAUCUGCAUGAAUAUUCCUCCAGAAAGACCCAUGGCAUAUUUGAAUUAACGAGUCACAUAUAAUAUCCUACUAGAUGUGUGUAUAUUGUUGGACUACAGCUCCCAUCAUCACCAGCCACAAUGGUUGACGGGAUGGUGGCAGUUGUAGACCGACAACAUCUGGGGACCCAAGCUUGUUUUUUUAAGGGAAUAAACCCCUGGACUCAGAAAACAAGUCUUCAAGAGAUAAACGAGCAAAGAUGAUACAGUCAAUUUAUACUGACUCAAUCAAGGCAGAUUCUGGUACAUAUAUGGACUACGUCUGUACAGCUACAGGUGGACCAACAAUAUUGAGAAGCUAGCAGAGGCUCAAAUCACUUUAAUAGCUCAUGCCUAAAUCCUGGGGCCAGUUGAUGAACUUGUUGUGCUGGAGCACCAUCACAGCUGCCACCACAUCCGAUGCCAUUUUGGUUGGCACAAAGAGGCUUGGGCCAAAUGCUAGGCAAAUUCAAAAUGAACAUGCCCACCCAACACCCAAAUUAAUGGCUUUGAAGAACUGUCAUCAGCUGCGCUUAUGGCUUGUGUUUUCAAAACACCCACUUGAAACCUGUCUCAGCAUUUAAAGGUUGCUUCAGACGUGGAAAGUAAAUCCAUGCAGGAAAGAGGCGGUGAAUUACGUAUUGCCACAGCUCUUUUGCAAUGUUGUACAGGAGCUUAGCUAUAAUUGAGUGGAUGGGUUCAAAGAACCUGGGCCCACCCUCCAAGUUCCACCCAUCCUUAUUUUCUUCAUUAUUUUCCUUACUGCGAGAGGCUGCUGGGGAGAGGGGUGAACACAGGCUCCCUCUCCCCUAGUUAUGCCCCUGACGUUGUACAUGCAUUUCCAUGAACACACAGCAAAACGCUUGAGCACUCAAUGGUCAGACCCAAGAAUUAAAUAUAGCAGUUUUAUCUGUCUGGAAGUGCUUUCUCUGCAGCAUUUCUGUUGCAUUUGAAAUAGGGUUGCCAUAUUCAAGCUUCCCCAAUCUGGGUGGCCUAAUUUGCAUAUUAUGCAAAUCAUGUGGCAACUAAUUUGCAUUUUAUUGACAGAUUUGUAUAUGUUCUCCUCCUUCUCUGCCCUCCCAUGUGAUUGGAUCCAGAGUAAAAUCCGGGCAAUCCGGGGAGCACAUUUGAAAUCCAUGUAAAUCUGGGUAGAAUGUAGCAGCUGGGUGAAGGAGCCAAAAUUUGGGGGCUACCUUAAAUUCUGGGGGACAUGGCAAGGCUAUUUUGAAACCAUCUCAUUUGAACUCGAGGGUAAAGUGCUCUUUCUCUCUUUUGCCCAUUUCACCCCAAUAAUCUCUAAAUGUGUGAAGCUUAUUUGCACGGACAGUCUAAAUCUGCAGGUACUUCUGGACUGAUUCAUUGCCCUUUGUUAUUCAUCCUCCAUUCUUAUCAAGACUUUCAAAGCAAGGGCAGAGAAAUAAAACCAUCUUUCAAGUGAUGCUUCCAGCCUCCCCACCCGAUGAACACCAGAGAGCAAUAAGACUAAACAGCCUUGACUCAGAAUCUUGGUGAAGCAGGGAAAUGCUUGACUAACAAGUAGAAUGUUGCCGUUUCGAAUCCCUGCUGGUACAUUCAGGCAGCAGCAAUAUAAGAAGAUGCUGAAAGGCACCAUCUCAUACUGAGCAGAAGGUAAAUGGUAAGCCCCUCCUGUAUUCUACCAGAGGAAACCACAGGGCUCUGUGGGUACCAGGAGUCGAAAUCAACUUGACGGCACACUUUACCUUCACCUUGUCAUACAGCUUUUCAGUCUCUUUGGCAGCAAAGUGCAAAAAUAUACUGUGAAGCUCAUAAUUUCUGACAGUCUUGAACUGCCUUUUACAGAAUCAGACCAUUGGUCCAUCCAGCUCAGUAUUGUCUAUGCUGACUGACCAUAGCUCUCCAAGAUUUCAGGCAGGAGUCUCUCCAGGUCCUAUCAGGAGAUUCCAGGGAUGGAACCUUGACCUUCUGCAUGCAAGCAGGUGCUCUACCAGUGAGCUAUGGCCCCAUCCCUUAAGCACAGAGAUGCACAACUAUAGCCCUGGACUACAGCUCCCACCAUCCCCAGUCACAGCUGCUCUUAGUGAAGGAUGAUGACACUUGUAGUCCAACAACAGCUGAAGGGAAGCAGCCCUCCCUAAGGGGAAUAGCUUAAGGCAGACAGUGCUCACAUGUAGUCACCCAACCAAAUGCAAACUGAGGCAAACCCUGCUUAGCAAAGGGGACAAUUCUUGCUUGCUCCCGCAGGACCGGCUCUCCACCCUUUCAGCUUGGGUCUGAAACUGCGGCUUUCUAAAGUUUAGGAUGGCUGAUACGAAGGCAAGGAAAGGUUAACUUAAGGAGGCAUAAUGCUAUGCUACGGUGCUGCUGCAAACCUCAAAGGGAGCACCCGAGAUGUGCAAAGGGUGAAUUGUGCAACUAGUGCUUCUACAAGUUUCCCCAUUUCAAACAAUGGAGAGACUUGCAGAAGCACUGCUUCCACAACCAUCUCUUUUGUGAAGCCUCUAUGAUCCCUUUGAAGUCCACAAGAGCCUCACAGUGCAGCAUUACACCUCUCUAAUGCUGGACACCAGGUCAGUCAAUGACAUUCGCACAAAUUUCUAUUUUAAAACAACAGCAGCAUGUCUUUGUGUUGUUACAUUAUUUCCAAGUCUAUAAUAGCUGAUCCAGGCUUCAUGCUCAUGCCAAUGUGCAUAUGGAGCUCUUGUGAUCACAUAUGGAGCUCUUGUGAACGCCGUCUUCCCCAUUUGGUUCAAUGGAGGGGGCACAGGAACAUAGGAAGCUGCAUUAUACUGAGUCAGACCAUUUGGUCAAUCUGGCUCAGUAUUGUCUGCACAGACUGGCAAUGGCUUCUCCAAGGUUGCAGGCAGGAGUCUCUCUCAGCCCUAUCUGGAGAUACCAAAGAAGGAACAUGGAACCUCCUGCAUGCAAGCCUGCAGAUGUUCUUCCCAGAGCAGCCCCAUCCCCUAAAGGGAAUAUUUUAUAGUUUUUACAUUGCAGCAGCCCAGAACCAUUGAAACCAAAAGGAGUUUUAUUACUGACAUCUAUGUGUUGUGGAUUGCAUCCUAUCCACUCCACGUACCACUGGAAAAACUCCUGUGGUUUUAUGAUCUCUAGUGCCCCAAACCCAGCAAUGUUGAGAGUUUUCAGGCCAUGCAACAUGGAGAGGUGAGGAAAUACAUACAAUCUGCCAUUACUUUAUCAGGAUACCCCUCUCUCCAACCUUUUAAAGAUAAGAAUACUAUUGAGUUAACAAGCCUGUUAGAACAUUAGUAUCCUCAUAGAUCUAUCAGUGUAACCAGUCUCAAAACCUCUGCCAUUUUAAUAUAAUGGAUCAUCAGAAUAUGAUAUGCGAAUUUGCUUUCAGGCUUCUGUUUGUAAUGAAAUGUGUUGUAAAAUAAAGGAAUAUUACAAAAUAUUAA